rnacentral:lncRNA from 1 species
GUGUCUGGGCAAUAAAUAGAGUAGGGCUCAUCUUAGUUGAAGGGAUGUGAGUUAGGCAGCCACAAGGGUGAGAAGGGCCCCAUUUGUGCUGAUAUCCAUUUGUCUUUGGAUAUCAGGUCAUUCACUGAAGUAUGUUAAACUUACAAGUGUGUAUACCUGAAAAAAAAGGAAAGAAACAAAGAAGGAAAGAAAAGAAAGAAAGAAAGGAAGGAAGAAAGAAAGAAAGAAAGAAAGAAAGAAAGAAAGAAAGAAAGAAAGAAAGAAAGAAAGAAAGAAAGGCGGGAGAAAAGAAUGAUUCAUCUUCAGAAGACAAUAAAUCCUCAAUAAAAAGUGGUCCCUGGAAAGGACCUUCCCCAUCUAUGCUGGAAUUGUAGUUAGCUUUCUAAUGUGCAGAUACUGUAGAGAAAACCACAAGUACCUACACAACACUGUCUAUUAUGAUGAAAGCUUGCCAACCAAGAGGAAUGUGCUGGAAUUGUGCCUAAACUACUGAUGAACACAUCUAAAAUCAAUUACAGCUUUGAGAUGCUGUAUGCAUGUUUGUACAACUAAAAGAAUAUGAUCUAAUCUGGAAAAUCCUUCACUGUCAUUCCCAGAGGCUUGAAUCCUAGAUGAUUCUACAUCCGACCAACUUGGCUGCUUUUCCUAGGUGAAAAUGCUUCAACCGAAGUCAUGGGAGGGAAGAACCUAUGUAGAAAGGAACGAAGACUUUCCUUUGCCCCUUUGAUCUACUAGGCAAGGGCUUGUCUUGCUAACUCUCUAGCCAUGAGGACAAACUCUUGAUCCCAUAAGAGAGACUCUGUCUGAAACAAAAAGGUGGAGAACAACAGAGUAAGAUACCUUCAACUGCUGGUUUUACUUGCAAAGGUUCAUCCCUACCCGAGAAUUUGGUUGAAGCACCGAACUCUGAAGACACUGUGAUCUCAUUGAUUCAGCUUCUGGACACCUAACACUUCAGCUGAAUUACAGAGGUUACAAAGGCACACCGAAGGAAAAGGGAAGGCUCUCUCAUCAAUCUGUGUUACAGUCACCUUGGGAAGAAGAGGCAGAAGCACUCACUCAGCACUUACAGGUGAGACAGAGCACCAGUGUCCAACUUCGAAGAUGCUGGUGUGCAGGUAGCAUUAGUGAAAUGAGAUGAGAAUUCUUCAUUGUCUACAUAACUGGAUCUGAAAUCUCCUAGGAGACUUACCUUGGAAGGUGUCGUUGAAGGUAUUCUGUCACAGCAAUUAGAAAAAUUACCAAAGUAAAAUAUUGGUACUGACAAGAGUGGCUACUGUGAUGAACCUGUUCGUGUGGUUUCUAAGAUUUUCCAACUGGCUUGUGAGAGAAAAGUGAAAUCAUUGUGAACUGCAGGCUCGAAAAGCUCUAGAGUGUUGGAAGCAGAAUUUUGUAAAAAGAAAGUAAGAUUCAGAGGACGGAGAAAAAAGCUAUAAAACACCUUGUCGUGGACAUAGCAUGGCUGAGGAACCUUUGAACUCACUGCAACUGUGGUCGACUGUACAAGAUCAAUCUAAUUAAAAUUCUAGAAUUGAUGGGGAAGGGACUUCUGAGGCCAAGCCCUAGUUAGGAAGCUAUUGGUAAUUGAUGGCUGAAGAGUGAUGGAGAGUCACAUUUGGAGGAGAAUCUAGACACUAGUAGGUUGCAUAAGUUCCAUUAAGUGUCUCUGUACUCUUAUCUAGCACCAAUUGCAUACAUGAUAUUGAUACUAGCAAUCUUAAAAGAGUACAUGAAGUACAGAGUUGUCAUGUUGGUGAGUCCUAGAGGGGGAAGUAGAAUAAAAAUUGUUCACAAUAGAAAAGGCUGUGCAUAAGAAUGGAUGAACUUUGACGAUUUGGAUCAGAAAUGGA